rnacentral:rRNA from 1 species
GAUGAACGCUGGCGGCGUGCCUAACACAUGCAAGUCGAGCGGCAGCGAGGGGUGCUUGCACCCUGUCGGCGAGCGGCGGACGGCUGAGUAACGCGUGGGAACGUGCCCCAAAGUGAGGAAUAACUGCCCGAAAGGGUAGCUAAUACCGCAUAUUAUCUUCGGAUCAAAGGAUUUAUCCGCUUUGGGAGCGGCUCGCGUCGGAUUAGGUAGUUGGUGAGGUAAUGGCUCACCAAGCCGACGAUCCGUAGCUGGUCUGAGAGGAUGACCAGCCAGACUGGAACUGAGACACGGUCCAGACUCCUACGGGAGGCAGCAGUGAGGAAUCUUCCACAAUGGGCGGAAGCCUGAUGGAGCAACGCCGCGUGCAGGACGAAGGCCUUCGGGUUGUAAACUGCUUUUAUAAGUGAGGAAUAUGACGGUAACUUAUGAAUAAGGAUCGGCUAACUACGUG